GCCGAGAGUAUGCGGGCCUUUCGAGCCCGUGACCCGGGUUCAAAUCCCGGCCGCGGCA
rnacentral:tRNA from 1 species